rnacentral:rRNA from 1 species
AGCGAACGCUGGCGGCAGGCCUAACACAUGCAAGUCGAACGGCCGCACCGUAAGAGUUUGCUCUUACGGGUGGAGAGUGGGGGACGGGUGGGGAAUACUUAGGAAUCUACCUUUUCGUUGGGGCUAACGUCGGGAAACUUACGCUAAUACGGCAUACGACGUAUGUGUCACAGCAGGGGACUUUCGGACCUUUUGCUUUUGAAUGAGCUGAUGUCGGAUUAGCUCGUUGGCGGGGUAAAGGCCUAGCAAGGCGACGCUCCGUAGCUGGUCUGAGAGGAUGAUCAGCCACACUGGAACUGAGACACGGCCCAGACUCCUACGAGAGGCAGCAGUGGGGAAUAUUGGACAAUGGGCGCAGGCCGGAUCCAGCCAUACCGCGUGGGUGAAGAAGGCCUUCGGGUUGUAAAGCCCUUUUGUUGGGAGAGAAGAGCAGCAGGUUAAUACCCCGCUGUUCUGACGGUACCCAAAGAAUAAGCACCGGCUAACUUCGUG